GACAGCAGCCGCCGCGGUAAUACGUAGGGUGCGAGCGUUAAUCGGAAUUACUGGGCGUAAAGCGUGCGCAGGCGGUUCGUUAAGACAGAUGUGAAAUCCCCGGGCUUAACCUGGGAACUGCAUUUGUGACUGACGGGCUAGAGUAUGGCAGAGGGGGGUAGAAUUCCACGUGUAGCAGUGAAAUGCGUAGAGAUGUGGAGGAAUACCGAUGGCGAAGGCAGCCCCCUGGGCCAAUACUGACGCUCAUGCACGAAAGCGUGGGGAGCAAACAGGAUUAGAUACCCCCGUAGUCCCUGUCUCUUAUAA
rnacentral:rRNA from 1 species